CUUCAGAGAAAGUGUGACAGAACUCAAAAGUUAAGGCACUCACCUACCUGUUCAAGUAUAUAUCAACAGAACCUUAACUGACCAAAUUGUAUCAAUGUUUGCUUAGUCAUAAUUCCUCCAGUGAGUGCGGACAUUCAAUAAUUUAUCUGCAUCAUUUAUAAUAGGUCCAAUGUUUUCAACCAUAAAAACUGUCGAAGACUAUCAUCAUUAGAAGGUCAGGAGAUCAGCUAACCAAUGCCUUGAACUGAUUCAUAUUUCAAAAUGAUAAAUUACUCAGAGGUGGAAACAGACUUGGUCUGCAAUAUCUCAGUCAAAUGCUGAAAGCUCCAUUUAAAAAGAUAUGGAAUUAGCAUGAUCCCUUGCAGGGCUACCUUUAGAGAUUGGGAAAGUGCCAUUUUAAAUGUGACAUGAUACAAUUUACCUUUGAUCUUAUACUGCUACUCUGUACAGUAAUAAACCUAGAUUAAUCACUGCUCUGGCUUGUCUUCUACAAUGGAGGGUUCCAA